rnacentral:misc_RNA from 2 species
UGUGCGGGAUGCAUUCCGAUCCCCCGGUGGCAUCUCCUUUGGAGGUGUCGGCGGCGCUUUCGGUGUGUCCCGUCUAGCGAUGGGACGACGCAUGAGUGGUGAUUAGGAUAUGUUUCCCUAGCAGGCUCCAUGUAUCUGGCAUCGAACUGCUUGGGUCUAUCUAUUUCAUUGGUGGGUUUGCCUCGGCGUUUCCAUGGGCGGUCGCCACUACUCGUUGGGUUCCUGUGCUUGGUACUGAAUUUUGUAGUCGGAUGGAUUGCUGCUCCGCGUCAUGGUUUUUUGAUCGCCCUCCGCUUCGCGCGGCGAUGGUGGAUAUUGUGCGAGCAUCGAGGUUUUCCUUUCGGGCACGUCGAUGCUAACGGCACUCUCGGGUACGGAGGUUUUGUGGCUAUCGCAUUGGCCUUCGGCCUUUGUGACCGUAAUGUAUCGAAGCUUUCUUGCUUCUGAAUGUAUGACCCUCGUGCUCGUCUAAAGAGUUCACGGAGCGUCUUUGCUCGGCGUUCUUCUUGAGGAGCCAUCGAGGUCUACAAAGGAAUGCUACCUGGUUGAU